rnacentral:lncRNA from 1 species
CCAAACCUCUGCCUCCCACCACAGCCCAAUGGCUAGGGAGUGGAAUGACACAGGGCCUUGCCCCUGAUACUGCCUCAGUUUCCCUCUCUGAAGCAGGAGUGGUCCUCUGGGUACCCCUGCAGGCUCCUGCAGCUGGACGGUUCCCCUCAGGCCCUGGCCUUCUCCAGCAACAGUGGAGACCUGGUGCUGGCACUGGGUUCCCGUCUCUGCCUAGUCUCCCACAGGCUCUAUCUGCCCACAGCCUACCUAGUUAAGGUAUGCAGUGAGGUCAGGAUGGGCAAAGUGGGGCUGCUGCGUGAGGACAGGCCCUGAGGAUCAGGGAUCCAAGCUUCUCUUGCUUGCCCAGAACCUGUGCCAGAAGGCUCCUGACGUGGUGGAUGACCCUCCAUUGCCACUGACCAGCCACGAGUCACUGACCUCCAUCCAGAUGCAAAGGCUCACCAACCUGCAUGGGGCAUUCAGUCUCAAGUCUUCUGGCAGGUCUCAGCUGUCCUUGAGACUCCCAUUUAGCCCCUGGGGUCAGGGCCUGACUGUGUGCCCCCUGCAUGAGGACUCAGGACUCCUGGACUGCUCAGAGGCUGCCACAUCCGUCCCAGCCCUGCCAUUCCCUCUCCUGGCUGGUCCUUGUCCUGCUUUCUGCCCUGUCCUCCUGGACUGUAUCGCACCUGUGCUUUUCCCUUUCUGCAGCCCAGCCCUGCUCUCCACCCGUCGCCAGACAGCAACACCCCAGCAGCUAGUGAUGAAGGAGGUGGGGUGGAUACUGACCUUCUUGCCACCCCACUGCCUAGCCCUGUCCCUGCUCAGGCUCAGGCCAUUGCCCCUUGGUCCCUACGGCUGGCUUGGACACCUGUGGUUAUGUGGGCAGCACAUGGCUUCCAAGGAAGCAAACCUGACCUCUGACCCCCACCUCUCAGGACUUGGAGGCCAUAAUGGCCCGUGACCAAGACCUUCAGGAGUUGAGGCUGGGACAGGUCAUCCCAGCAGCCCGGCCCCCACCCUCCUGGAAGCAGCGCCAGGAAGCCUUUGACAAUUACCUACGUUUGAUCUAUGGCCCUGGACUAUUGGUGGGUGUGAGGCCAUCCUCCAGCCUCUGCCCUGACCCUGGCAAAUCCUCUCACCCCAGACCUGACACUGCCACUGUUCCCACCUGUCUCAGGACAUGCAGUUCAAAAGGGAGCCCCAGCAGGGGAGCAUCAUGACCCUCACCACAGAAAGAGAGCUCCAAGACAAGACAUGUGUACCCUGUCCAGAACUGCCUCCUGCUUUGGGCAGGCUACCAUCAGCAGUGAGGCCCAGACAGUACCCAAAGCCCUUCUCCACCCCCAGACCCCAGGGGCCCCAGGCCAGCGUUUUGCCCCCCCCCCCAAGUGAUCUUGCCCAUUCCACCCACCACCAGAAGGUCCACAGCAAAGUGUCCAAGGUGGAGCCUGCCUCCCCUCCCACCCCCUUCCUGACAUCAUGGCUGAAUCCCCCUGACUCCUUGGCUGCCUCAGCUUCUUGCCUGCUCUUCCCUGAGCUGUGACUUGGGCCUCAGUCUGGAUCUGCAGAUGCAGUUGGAGCAGCUCAGAGAGGAGAUGACCAUGGCCUUGGACCCACCGUCCUCCCUCCCACAGCACAGGUGAGGUAAACUUAGCAGCUGGGAUGCCACCUACUCAAGAGCAGUACUUGAGGGGCUCUAGGGGCUGUGCUCAACUCUUGAGUCUCUGUCCCAUCUCCAGGUCCCACUUUGGCUGCAGAAACAGCCCAAGGAUCCUCUCUCAAAUCUCAAGGGCUUCUUUCCUGCCACUGUGCAGUCCCACAAGGUGAGGC